CAGAAAGAUUGCCCACCCAGCUUCUUGUGCAACUGCCCCUAUUAUGCAGGAGACAUGUGAUCAACUCCAGGACUCCCUUUCUCUUCCCCUCAUACCUGCUUCAGUAGGAGCCAUCAGGGCUUUAUGGGGUGCGGCUGAUACCCUCCAUUCAGGGUCCAUGUCCGAAUUUUGGAACAAAGGCAUAUAUAUCAUCAUGCCCAGUAAAUACAAAAUGCAAAGCUGAGCUAGAAAAGGAGAAAGGGACUCUCCAGAUAGUAGACUAAGAAGACAAUGAAGAAGUGAGCAGGGCUGGAGCCCUGUGGCCACGUGGGAGGUCACUGUCUCUGCCACAAGACUGCAACAACCAGUUGCUUCCUACAGUACAGAUGUGGCAUUUGUCAUAAAGCUGGAAGCCAGAAGACUUGAUUUCUCAUUCCUUCCUUCCUUUUUAGGAAGGGCCUCUUGGAGCCCAAUCUAGUCUUGGACUUACCUACCUAGUUGAGGAUGGCCUUGAACUCCUGAUGCUCCUCCUAUCUCCCUAGUACUGCAGGCGGUCCUGGUUUACAUGGUGCUGGGGAUUAUAUCCAGAGCCUUGUGAAUGCCAGGCAGGCACUCUAUGGACUGAGCUACAUCUGCAGCUCAUAAAGAUGACUCAUAAGUGAAUCUUCUCAAACAGAAGAGAAAAUCUUGGGUCAAUUGUGGUCAGUAGCCAGCCCCACAGAGGACUUUGCCAGGACUGAGCACCGUGAGGGAACUUUCACUGUUACAGUCCUUGUAACAAACCCAUGAGGUAGGCACUUUGCUCAACACCCUAUUUUUAGAUGGAGACAAGCAGAGGGGCUAAGAAACUUGCUCACAAGACACACAGGUAGCAAAUAAUGGAAGUUGGACUCAAAUCCAAAUGCUCUGGUUCCAGAGCUUGCACUCAAUGACAUAGAAACAGUUGAAUGGAGCCGAUUCCACCAAGGAAAGAACACGAAGUUGUUCUCAGACCUCCCCAUGUGUGCUGUGGUAAGCAACCCC